UACGUAGGCAGCGAGCGUUGUUCGGAGUUACUGGGCGUAAAGGGUGUGUAGGCGGUUGUUUAAGUUUGGUGUGAAAUCUCCCGGCUCAACUGGGAGGGUGCGCCGAAUACUGAAUGACUUGGAGUGCGGGAGAGGAAAGUGGAAUUCCUGGUGUAGCGGUGAAAUGCGUAGAUAUCGGGAGGAACACCAGUGGCGAAGGCGACUUCCUGGCCUGUUCUUGACGCUGAGGCGCGAAAGCUAGGGUAGCAAACGGG
rnacentral:rRNA from 1 species